rnacentral:rRNA from 1 species
GUCUUUUUGUUAAAAAUUUAAAGUCUGACCUGCUCAAUGAAUAUUAAAUAGCUGCAGUAUUUUGACUGUACAAAGGUAGCAUAAUCAUUAGUUUUUUAAUUAAAAGCUAGAAUGAAGGGUUUGACGAAAAAAUUACUGUCUUUAUUUAAUUUAAUUAGAAAUUUAUUAUUUAGUAAAAAAGCUAAAAUAAAUUUAAUAGACGAGAAGACCCUAUAGAGUUUUAUAUUUAUUAUUAUUAUAUUAAAGUAAUUAAUUAUUAAUUUAAUAAUAUUAAAAUAUUUUUUUGGGGAGAAAAAAAAAAUUAAAUAACUUUUUUUAAAUAAUUUCAUUGAUAUAUGAUUAAUUGAUCCAUUUUAUUGAUUAAAAGAUUAAAUUACCUUAGGGAUAACAGCAUAAUUUUUUUUAAGAGAUCUUAUCGAAAAAAAAGAUUGUGACCUCGAUGUUGGAUUAAAAUAAAUUUAUAAUGGAGAAGUUAUAUUAUUAGGUCUGUUCGACCUUUGAAAUUUUACA